CGGGGCAUCACGGGAGCUGUAGUUUUCCUUCAGGUGACUCCGUCAGGGAGACAUAAAUAGUUUUAUAAUUUAUUCCCUCAGAAUUAAUCCUAUUAUUAUGGCUUCCCAUUGCCAGAGAAUCUGCAAAAACUGAAAUAUGUGGCAGCUGCAAAAAAAAUUUCCCUAGACUUGGACAGGAAUAUCCUCUCUUUCAUUAUGACUUAUCCUGCAAGUGUUUAUCUCAACUUACACAAAAUCAAGGUGAAAACCAGAAUUCCAACCUCAGUCCUUCAUUACAGCAACCUCUCUGCAAAAGGAGCACAGGAAUAUGAGUUCUACCCAGGUAUUACUAUGGGGUCAUUUCCUCGGCCUCAGCUGUUGCUUCAGUUCUAAAUCUGUUCCUUUCAAUGGC